rnacentral:rRNA from 1 species
GAGUAACGCGUAUGCAACCUACCUAUCGAGACGGGGAAUAACCCGGCGAAAGUCGGACUAAUACCGCAUAAAACAGGGGCACCGCAUGGUGAUAUUUGUUAAAGAAAUUCGCUGAUAGAUGGGCAUGCGUUCCAUUAGGUAGUUGGUGGGGUAACGGCUCACCAAGCCGACGAUGGAUAGGGGAACUGAGAGGUUGGUCCCCCACACUGGUACUGAGACACGGACCAGACUCCUACGGGAGGCAGCAGUGAGGAAUAUUGGUCAAUGGGCGGGAGCCUGAACCAGCCAAGUCGCGUAGAAGGAAGAAGGAUCUAUGGUUCGUAAACUUCUUUUGCAGGGGAAUAAAGUGCAGGACGUGUCCUGUUUUGUAUGUACCCUGAGAAUAAGGAUCGGCUAACUCCGUGCCAGCCGCCGC